rnacentral:rRNA from 1 species
AGAGAGAGACAUGCGCGCAUAUCAAUAAGCGGAGGAAAAGAGAACUAACAAGGAUUCCCUUAGUAACGGCGAGUGAAGCGGGAAGAGCUCAAAUUUGAAAUCUUCAAGGUUCUACCUUGACGAAUUGUAGUUUAUAGAAGUGUUUUCUGUUAGUGGAGUGGCAAAAGUUCUUUGGAAUAGGACAUCAUAGAGGGUGAGAAUCCCGUAUUUGGUCAUUCCUCCUAGCGUUGUGAUACACUUUCAACGAGUCGGAUUGUUUGGGAAUGCAGUCCAAAAUGGGUGGUAAAUUUCAUCUAAAGCUAAAUAUUGGCGAGAGACUGAUAGCGAACAAGUACCGUGAGGGAAAGAUGAAAAGAACUUUGAAAAGAGAGUUAAACAGUACGUGAAAUUGUCAAAAGGGAAGCGUUUGACACCAGUGUUGUUUUUCCGAAAAUCAAUUACUAAAUGUUUUGUUUUUGAGGAGUUAUGACUUCAUCGGCUUGCUCCUUUCUUUACGAAACUUUCUUAAUGCACUUUUCGGUUAACAAGUCAACAUCAAUUUCUUUUGUUGUAAAAGGGUACGAGGAAGGUGGCUUUCUUUUCGGAGAAAGUGUUUAUAGCCUUUGUGCCUCUGCAAUCGGAGAGAUUGAGGUCUGCAGCGUAGAUCCUUCGGGGUUAGAUACAGUUAGAUGCUAAGUUAUAGCUUUUCAUAGACAACUUGUUGACUAUGUUUAGUCUUGUAGCUUACUCGCUUAUGCUAUUUUACCUACGCUUAGGAUGUUGAUAGUCACAGCGUGUAC